CCCUUAGAUGUUCUGGGCUGCACGCGCGCUACACUGACGCACGCAACAGGUGCCUGCUCCGAGAGGACUGGGUAAUCAUUUGAGUGUGCGUCGUGAUGGGGAUAGAAUAUUGUAAUUAUUACUCUUCAACGAGGAAUUCCUAGCAAGCGCCAGUCAGCAGCUUGCGCUGAUUACGUCCCUGCCCUUUGUACACACCGCCCGUCGCUCCUACCGAUGGGUGAUCCGGUGAAUGAUUCGGACUUCAGCGGCUCCCCUGGGGUGCGCCGGAGAAAGUUUUGUGAACCUUAUCACUUGGAGGAAGGAGAAGUCGUAACA
rnacentral:rRNA from 1 species